UUGAACAAGAGAACCAGGCUGUAAUAACACGGACUAUUUUACAUGUAAAUCAUGUUGCAUUACAUUUGUUUUGCGUUCUAAAAACAUUCACAUGUGACUGAUGUAAAUGUGGACGAAGGGCGCGUCUCGUUAUCCAUCACGCUGUUAAAUUUCCGGCUCUCGGCCCCUCACUGAACAGAGCAGACGCAGAGAGAGGUGUGAGUGCAGAGGGAAAGCAAGACCUCGCGCUUGCAGGACAGUACUGCUGACAUUUGGAAAGUCAAGACAUAGGGUUUGUGCAAAAAGCUGAUAGAUCUGUCGUUUGGCGUUUUUUCUUUUUGCAUAAAAGUCACUAAAGAGGUCUGAAAAUCCUAAAGGGGUCUGAAAAGUCACUAAAGGGGUCUGAAAAGUGGUCUGAAAAGUGGCUAAAGGGGUCUGAAAGUGGCUAAAGGGGUCUGAAAAGUCACUAAAAGGGUCUGAAAAGUGCUAAAGGGGUCUGAAAAGUCACUAAAAGGGUCUGAAAAGUGCUAAAGGGGUCUGAAAAUCACUAAAAGGGUCUGAAAAGUGCUAAAGGGGUCUGAAAAGUGCUAAAAGGGUCUGAAAAGUGCUAAAGGGGUCUGAAAAGUCACUAAAGGGGUCUGAAAAUCUCUAAGUCGGCAACACUGGUCUGCACUGACAGCUAGAUAAAAGUCAGCUAAGCUCCGCCUCUCCCCACAAAAAGAAAAAAUUGGCGCCCCCCCUUCCGACCUCUCCUGGUUGAGAACCACUGCCUUAGAAUAUAGCAGCUGUUUCCUUACCUUUGUACCGUCUCUCGAAGUUAAUAAGCCAAAAGAAACGCAGCUUGCCUUGUUACCCAGAACCCAAACGCGGGAAGUCUCCUGCCCUGAAGACAUCAGAAAACGUCCCGUUACGCCUUGACACUGGAGACUCCUUCCAUAGACACCAAACCGCCGUCUCAUCUCACGUCAGCACUUACACACAGUUUCCAGUCUGGAGCGUCCACGAGCUGUUACCAUAGAAACGGUAACGUAUUACAGGGGACUGGUGACGGGAAUGUUAACGACGUGUCAAGUGAACUGACACUGGGGCU
ensembl:lncRNA